rnacentral:tRNA from 1 species
GAAAAGUUAGUUAACUUAUAACAUAAUUUUGUCAAUUUUAAAUUACUAUUUUUCAUUAGUACUUUUCU